rnacentral:rRNA from 1 species
UACGUAGGGUGCGAGCGUUAAUCGGAAUUACUGGGCGUAAAGCGUGCGCAGGCGGUCUGUUAAGACCGAUGUGAAAUCCCCGGGCUUAACUCGGAACGGUCAACUGAUACUGCUCGGCUAGAGUGCGGAAGGGGCAACUGGAAUUCUUGGUGUAGCGGUGAAAUGCGUAGAUAUCAAGAGGAACACCUGCGGCGAAGGCGGGUUGCUGGGCCGACACUGACGCUGAUGCGCGAAAGCUAGGGGAGCGAACGGG